GACGAACGCUGGCGGCGUGCUUAACACAUGCAAGUCGAACGGAAAGGCCCCUUUGGGGGUACUCGAGUGGCGAACGGGUGAGUAACACGUGAGUAACCUGCCCUUGACUUCGGGAUAACUUCAGGAAACUGGGGCUAAUACCGGAUAGGAAUCCUUGCUGCAUGGUGGGGGUUGGAAAGCUUCGGCGGGUUUGGAUGGACUCGCGGCUUAUCAGCUUGUUGGUGGGGUAGUGGCUUACCAAGGCUUUGACGGGGAGCCGGCCUGAGAGGGCGACCGGCCACAUUGGGGCUGAGAUAAGGCCCAGACUCCUACGGGAGGCAACAGUGGGGAAUAUUGCACAAUGGGCGGAAGCCUGAUGCAGCAACGCCGCGUGCGGGAUGACGGCCUUCGGGUUGUAAACCGCUUUCAGCAGGGGCGAAGCUUGUGGUGACGGUACCUGCAGAAGAAGCACCGGCUAACUACGUG
rnacentral:rRNA from 1 species